rnacentral:rRNA from 1 species
GAGUUUGAUCAUGGCUCAGAACGUACGCUGGCGGCACGCCUAACACAUGCAAGUCGAACGAAGUAGCAAUACUUAGUGGCAGACGGGUGAGUAACAUGUAGGUAUCUGCCCUUUGGCCUGGAAUAACACGAGGAAACUUGUGCUAAUACCGGAUAAGUCUUUACGGAGAAAGCUUUAUGCACCAUUGGAUGAGCCUGCACUUGAUUAGUUUGUUGGUGGGGUAAUGGCCUACCAAGACUGUGAUCAAUAGCUGAUUUGAGAGGAUGAUCAGCCACAUUGGGACUGAGACACGGCCCAAACUCCUACGGGAGGCAGCAGUGGGGAAUCUUGCACAAUGGAGGAAACUCUGAUGCAGCGAUGCCGCGUGAGUGAAGAAGGCCCUUGGGUUGUAAAGCUCUUUCGUCGGGGAAGAAAAUGACUGUACCCGAAUAAGAAGGUCCGGCUAACUUCGUGCCAGCAGCCGCGGUAAUACGAAGGGACCUAGCGUAGUUCGGAAUUACUGGGCUUAAAGAGUUCGUAGGUGGUUGAAAAAGUUAGUGGUGAAAUCCCAGAGCUUAACUCUGGAACUGCCAUUAAAACUUUUCAGCUAGAGUAUGAUAGAGGGAAGCAGAAUUUCUAGUGUAGAGGUGAAAUUCGUAGAUAUUAGAAAGAAUACCAAUUGCGAAGGCAGCUUUCUGGAUCAUUACUGACACUGAGGAACGAAAGCAUGGGUAGCGAAGAGGAUUAGAUACCCUCGUAGUCCAUGCCGUAAACGAUGUGUGUUAGACGUUGGAAAUUUAUUUUCAGAGUCGCAGGGAAACCGAUAAACACACCGCCUGGGGAGUACGACCGCAAGGUUAAAACUCAAAUGAAUUGACGGGGACCCGCACAAGUAGUGGAGCAUGUGGUUUAAUUCGAAGAUACGCGCAGAACCUUACCAACACUUGACAUGUUCGUCGCGACUCUAAGAGAUUAGAGUUUUCGGUUCGGCCGGACGAAACACAGGUGCUGCAUGGCUGUCGUCAGCUCGUGUCGUGAGAUGUUGGGUUAAGUCCCGCAACGAGCGCAACCCUCACUUUUAGUUGCCAUCAUUAAGUUGGGCACUCUGAAAGAACUGCCAGUGAUAAGCUGGAGGAAGGUGGGGAUGACGUCAAGUCCUCAUGGCCCUUACGUGUUGGGCUACACACGUGCUACAAUGGUAUCUACAACAGGAAGCUAGACUGCGAAGUUAAGCAAAUCCCUAAAAGAUACCUCAGUUCGGAUUGCACUCUGCAACUCGAGUGCAUGAAGCUGGAAUUACUAGUAAUCGUGGAUCAGCGUGCCACGGUGAAUGCGUUCCCGGGUCUUGUACACACCGCCCGUCACACCAUGGGAGUUGGUUCUACCUUAAGGCAAGGUUUCAAACCCUUGACCACGGUAUAGUCAGCGACUGGGGUGAAGUCGUAACAAGGUAACC